AGAAAUUGGUUAUCAAAUUUUGCCCCAAUAAUGCAAGAGGUGAAUGGAUUCUUCUCAUCCUAUAUACUUGGUCUGUUGUGAUCAACUUAGAGUUACAGAUCUAGACUUCCAACUCUUUCCAUCUAUUGCUCAUGGAGAACUCAUGUUUCUUUAGUGAUAUUAUGUCGAUUUAGACGAAGUGUUUUCUAGAGGCCUUUUGAAACCUAAUUCAUAAGUUGAAGGACUUAAUAAGUUCUUUAUACACGCAAUGGACGAAAUAAGGUGAUGAGUUAAUGUGAGGGAAGAAUGAGGUCAUUUGCCCACCUCAUUUGCCCUAGAAAGUUCUAUCAGAUUAUUGAUAACAAGAAAAGAAACAAAAUCCGAGGAGGAAAAAUGAAGGUCUCUAGAUCCAUGAACUGAUAUAAUAUCAGAAAUCAGGAUGAGAAACUUUAUUUUAAAAUGAUUCACUGAAUAAUAUCGCGUGCAAUGAUUUAAUUGCAUUAGUGCCACAAGUACUAUAGAGCGCUACCAGAAGAAUAUCAAGAAUCUAUGUCCGAGCCAAAAAAUGGCUCUACAACAGUCAUAGGUCAGAAACUGAUCAGCAUAUUCGGGUAAAUCUUUUUCCAUAUAUGAUUUGCUGCUGCAGUUGCCAGUGGAUAUGGCUGUAACUGUUUCCCUUGCCAUUGUUUCAUAGACAUGCAAGCAGUAACAACAGUAUCCUUUUUGCUUCUGUGAUUAAGUGAGUAUAUUUAAAUAUGUUCAUGAAGAAAGUUUCGUGUUUAGAAAAUUUUUCUUUUUUUUUUUUAAUCUUUUCCUUUCCCGUAUACGUCCUUUUUGCACCUCCUCUCCACUAAAGAGUUAAUUUCUUGUGUUGGUGUGCUAUAUCUGUUUACCAUUUGUGACGUACGUUUGUUGUGUUUUGUUUCUAGGGAUGAAUGGUAUCUAUUUGAGUUUUAUGCAGCAUUUUCACAUGUGAAAUUACCUUUUGAAUUUUCUUUGAAUAGCGGGUAUUUAGUGUUCAACUGUGUCCUGGUACCAAAUGUUAGUUGCAUGAGCCUAUGAAUUGCGUCCAAAGUCCAAAAUAAGCAGUUUCAUGGCAUUCACUUUCUUGAUUUCUCGGAAUGGCAGCCAAGAUCCUUUGAACUGGUAUUGAAUAGCCAUAAUGUCUUACAUUCACUUGAUUCUUGAUCCUGGGAAUCUCAUUCAAGAUCAUGGAAUUUUGAAGAAGAGAUUGCAAUUCUGAGAAUAAAAACAAAGGUUCUUGGGAGAUGGUUUAGAUUCCUCCUCUGUUGAUGAAUUGCAACAGAUAGAAGGUCAGUUGGAGAAAAGUUUAAGCAUCAUUAGGUCAAGAAAGAGCCAAUUGUUUUGAGAGCGCAUUCAUCAGUUGAAACAAGAGGAGAAAAUUCUCAAGAAGGAAAAUACGGAAUUGCAGGAAAAGGUAAUUUUGGGGAAAUAACGCUUGGAGGAUGAGAAGUAUCUAUUAUCGGAUGAAACAAAAAAGUUGUGUAUGGCUAAGUGUUUUUUGAUCAUUAAAGCCUAUGGGCCUACUGCGUUAUUUUAUGGAAUUACCAUUAAAAUGAUCAAAAUGUGGCAGCGUUAAAAUUUGUGCUUUUUUUUUUUUCCAUCAUACAAUGAAGGACGCAAUGUUUUAUAAAGAAAAAUAAAUAAAUGAAUACAUAAAUACAAGUUUAGGAGGGA